rnacentral:rRNA from 1 species
AUGAACGCUGGCGGCGUGCCUCAUACCUGCCAGUCGAGCGAACGGACGAGAAGCUUGCUUUUCUGAUGUUAGCGGCGGACGGGUGAGUAACACGUGGAUAACCUACCUAUAAGACUGGGAUAACUUCGGGAAACCGGAGCUAAUAUCGGAUAAUAUUUUGAACCGCAUGGUUCAAAAGUGAAAGACGGUCUUGCUGUCACUUAUAGAUGGAUCCGCGCUGCAUUAGCUAGUUGGUAAGGUAACGGCUUACCAAGGCAACGAUGCAUAGCCGACCUGAGAGGGUGAUCGGCCACACUGGAACUGAGACACGGUCCAGACUCCUACGGGAGGCAGCAGUAGGGAAUCUUCCGCAAUGGGCGAAAGCCUGACGGAGCAACGCCGCGUGAGUGAUGAAGGUCUUCGGAUCGUAAAACUCUGUUAUUAGGGAAGAACAUAUGUGUAAGUAACUGUGCACAUCUUGACGGUACCUAAUCAGAAAGCCACGGCUAACUACGUG